ensembl:snRNA U2 U2 spliceosomal RNA
AUCGCUUCUCGGCCUUUUGGCUAAGAUCAAGUGUAAACUAAAUUAAUUAAUUUAAAUGGAAUUAAUUAAUCCUAAAUGGAAUACAUUUUCAUUGUUUAAGAGGUAUUUUAUGGGGUGCCUGGGUGGCUCAGUUGGUUAAGUAUCGGGCUUCGGCUCAGGUCAUGAUCUCAUGGUUCGUGGGUUUAGGCCCUGCUUU